ACUAUUUUUUUUAUACUUAAAACAUCAUCCCUAACCUCAUUCUUGGGAGAAACUCACGGUCCAUUGGAGAGAAAGGAACCGUGAGGUUCAAUUUCUAAUCAUGUUCCCGAUUUUCGUCGUACUGAUCGUCUGAUCGCAUAAACCUUAAUAAAUCGAUAUAAGGCAUAGAAGCUUGUAACACGAAUCAUGCAAAAAUGAAUGGACCUAGAAGAUAGCGAAGGGUCGAAGUUGAAAUAGGCUUAUGUUCAUAAGCCUGCGAGGUAGCGUAUCCUCUCUAUGGUUUUCGAUUCCUUUAGUUGAGAUGAUGUGUGCUAUAACGUGAUUAUUUGUGCGAUGUUAAUUAAAUAAUGUGCUUAAAUAUGCUUAUAAUUUAAUAUGUGGAUUGUUAUGAUACUUAUUAAUUUUAAUAUGAAUGAUCUGCAGAAAUAAUGGUACGAAUAUGAAUAAAAGACAAUGGAUACGAUAUCCAGUGAAAUGUAAUAAAUUAUGAAGAUCUGAAUAAUGUGAAAUAUGUCUGAAUAGAUUAUGAAAAGAUAUCUGAAUGUAUAUGAAAAAGAAUGUCUGUGAAUUCUAUAAGAAUGAUUAUCUGAAGUGAUAUUUGGAAAUGGAAUAAAUGUGAAAAAGAGAUUUGAAAGAAGAAUAUGAAAUAACACGUCUCGUUUGCUUGGUCAUAUGUCUUGGGUACAAUUGGCAUGCCAUAGGACAGCAGCGCUGCAUUAUCUGUGAUCACUCAUCUUCUGGAUAACCGAAGCGAGGAUCGUCUGUUAUCUGAUGGGCCCCUAUCUGAUCUGUCUGAUCUGCACCCUAAUGGGUGGUCUGAUUAUCUGUCUGCACCCUCAUGGGUGGUCUGAUUUUCUGAUAUGCACGCUAUGGGUGGCCUUGCGGAGUCCUCUCGAGGACAAAAUCUGCGUCUGCUUCUGAUUCUGUUUCUGAUCUGGUCCGUGUACCCUGCCUGAAACCAAGCAGAUAUUGGGGCUAUAUGAUAAGAUAAAAUAAAAUAAUAUCUGAGGAUUUGUGAAUAAGAAUCUGUGAUCUGUGAUAUAUAAAAUAAUAUCUGAUGACUUCUGAAUAAGAAUCUGUGAUCUGUGAUAUAUAAAAUAAUAUCUGAUGACUUGUGAAUAAGGAUCUGUGAUAUGUGAUUUGUAAAAUAUGAUAUAUGAUAUGAUUGUUGAUCGGUCCUCACGCGGAGGAAAUGGUAUAUUAUGUUGAAUGGUCCCCGCUCGGGGUAAUUAACAUGGAAAAACAAAUAGUAUAUGAAAAUAAAUGGUAAAGGGAGAAAAAUAUGAUACGAAAUAAUAAUAUAUGAUGAAUAUGUGUGGUUAUCUGAACAAGUAUGCUUUGUUGUGAAGAUUAUGAGAUUGUAAGUAAUUUUGAAAAUCGGUGAAAUUAAAAUGAAAAUAAGUAAAAGAUUAAAAAGGAAAUAAUGUAGUUAUUAUAGUUACUAUUGUCUUAGCUGAGAGGGUUGGAUUUGUAGUUUGGAUAUUGCUACUGGGCUUUCGAGCUCACUCCCCCUCUUUUCCCCCUGCAGGUUAGAGUUGAUGUUAUGACAGUGGUGUUGCGCAGCUUUGCAUCUUUUGCAAGUCACUGGUGGUCAACUUGGUUUAGUAGUCGUGGCAUGUUGUGUAAUAGUUUAAUCUUUAAACUUCCGUUGGAUAAAUGUUAAGUUUUUAAAUGUAAUAGAUUUUAAUUGUGCUUUUAAGCUAAAAAGAAAAAGGAAAAUUUCAGCACAA